UUGCCAAGAAAACCCCAAAUGGGGUCAGGAAGAGUCAGACAGAACUGAAAUGACUGAAUAAUAGAUGAUUAGAGUCGCUGGGAAGUAGAUUGUCCUGCCUUUUACAGAAGCAAUGGAAAUGUUGAUUUGAUUAUCAAACUCCAAACAAGGGGAGGGUGGAGAACAGAAACCUGGGGCACAGAAUAAAUGUAAUCCCUCUUCCACGUUAUGGCUAAACCUCUCCAGUUCAUUCAAGUUAUUCUUAUUCUUCACGUUAAUGGCCGCCUUCCUCUGGACCCUCUCCAGCAUAGACUCGAUAUGAGUCUAAUCAGGGGUGGCUCCAGCAUACUUAGCUGGUAAUCAGGGUUUUUGUCAUGGAUGAAGAAGGAACAACAGCAUUGCUGUAACCAUACUCAUAACUGAGGAUAUAUGUCACAUCUACACAAGCCCUUUGGACCUGGGACCUCAAGGCAUGAUGGGAGGAGAACCUUGGUUGUGAUGUACUCUAAAAACCAUGAUGAAGAAACCAAAAUCAUGUUGGAACAGGGGAGGUAAAAAAGCCAUUCUCAUCAUCUAGUCUGUUGUAGAAGUUGUCUCAAGUAUAUUUUCCGUGAUCCCACAGAAGAUGAACUUACCAUCUCAAGAUUUUUAUUCAACUACAAAAAGCAAUCAUUUUAUCCACCUACAAUGGUCUGUCAAAAACCACACAUAAAACAACAACAGUAAGAGGGUGACAUAUUCCUGGGCCAUUUCUGUCUUUACUUCCAUGGAAUAUAAUAAAAUAAUAAUUAAUAAUAAUAGCCAGCAUUUAUAUGUCAU